rnacentral:rRNA from 1 species
UACAGAGGGUGCAAGCGUUAAUCGGAAUUACUGGGCGUAAAGCGCACGUAGGCGGUUUUUUAAGUCAGAUGUGAAAGCCCCGGGCUCAACCUGGGAAUUGCAUUUGAAACUGGAAAACUAGAGUGUGUGAGAGGGGGGUAGAAUUCCGCGUGUAGCAGUGAAAUGCGUAGAGAUGCGGAGGAACACCGAUGGCGAAGGCAGCCCCCUGGGAUAACACUGACGCUCAUGCACGAAAGCGUGGGGAGCAAACAGGAUUAGAAACCCC